AGAGUUUGAUCAUGGCUCAGGAUGAACGCUAGCUACAGGCUUAACACAUGCAAGUCGAGGGGCAGCAUGACCUAGCAAUAGGUUGAUGGCGACCGGCGCACGGGUGAGUAACACGUAUCCAACCUACCGGUUAUUCUGGGAUAGCCUUUCGAAAGAAAGAUUAAUACCGGAUAGUAUAACGAGAAGGCAUCUUUUUGUUAUUAAAGAAUUUCGAUAACCGAUGGGGAUGCGUUCCAUUAGUUUGUUGGCGGGGUAACGGCCCACCAAGACAUCGAUGGAUAGGGGUUCUGAGAGGAAGGUCCCCCACAUUGGAACUGAGACACGGUCCAAACUCCUACGGGAGGCAGCAGUGAGGAAUAUUGGUCAAUGGACGAGAGUCUGAACCAGCCAAGUAGCGUGAAGGAUGACUGCCCUAUGGGUUGUAAACUUCUUUUAUAUGGGAAUAAAGUGAGCCACGUGUGGCUUUUUGUAUGUACCAUACGAAUAAGGAUCGGCUAACUCCGUGCCAGCAGCCGCGGUAAUACGGAGGAUCCGAGCGUUAUCCGGAUUUAUUGGGUUUAA
rnacentral:rRNA from 1 species